AUUCCAAUCGAACUUGGAGAUAGCUGGUUCUCUCCGAAAUAGCUUUAGGGCUAGCCUCAAGUGAUGAUUAUUGGAGGUAGAGCACUGUUUGGACGAGGGCCCUCUCGGGUUACCGAAUUCAGACAAACUCCGAAUGCCAAAUAAUUUAACUUGGGAGUCAGACUAUGGGUGAUAAGGUCCGUAGUCGAAAGGGAAACAGCCCAGACCACCAGCUAAGGUCCCAAAAUAUAUGUUAAGUGGAAAAGGAUGUGGCGUUGCCCAGACAACUAGGAUGUUGGCUUAGAAGCAGCCAUCAUUUAAAGAGUGCGUAAUAGCUCACUAGUCGAGUGACACUGCGCCGAAAAUGUACCGGGGCUAAACAUAUUACCGAAGCUGUGGAUUAUCCGUAAGGAUAAUGGUAGGAGAGCGUUCUAAACGUGUCGAAGCAUGAUCGUAAGGACAUGUGGAAUGUUUAGAAGUGAGAAUGCCGGUGUGAGUAGCGAAAGAUGGGUGAGAAUCCCAUCCACCGAUUGACUAAGGUUUCCAGAGGAAGGCUCGUCCGCUCUGGGUUAGUCGGGACCUAAGCCGAGGCCGAUAGGCGUAGGCGAUGGAUAACAGGUAGAUAUUCCUGUACCACCUAUGAUUGUUUGAACGAUGGGGGGACGCAGUAGGAUAGGCGAAGCGUGCUGUUGGAGUGCACGUCCAAGCAAUAAGACUGAGUGUUAGGCAAAUCCGGCACUCGUAAGGUUGAGUUGUGAUGGGGAGUUGGAUCAUGUAUCCGACGAGUCGUUGAUUUCACACUGCCAAGAAAAGCCUCUAGUUAGAAAAUAGGUGCCCGUACCGCAAACCGACACAGGUAGUCAAGAUGAGAAUUCUAAGGUGAGCGAGCGAACUCUCGUUAAGGAACUCGGCAAAAUGACCCCGUAACUUCGGGAGAAGGGGUGCUUUUUAGGGUGCAAGCCUUGAAGAGCCGCAGUGAAUAGGCCCAAGCGACUGUUUAUCAAAAACACAGGUCUCUGCUAAACCGUAAGGUGAUGUAUAGGGGCUGACGCCUGCCCGGUGCUGGAAGGUUAAGAGGAGUGGUUAGCUUCUGCGAAGCUACGAAUCGAAGCCCCAGUAAACGGCGGCCGUAACUAUAACGGUCCUAAGGUAGCGAAAUUCCUUGUCGGGUAAGUUCCGACCCGCACGAAAGGCGUAACGAUUUGGGCACUGUCUCAACGAGAGACUCGGUGAAAUCAUAGUACCUGUGAAGAUGCAGGUUACCCGCGACAGGACGGAAAGACCCCGUGGAGCUUUACUGUAGCCUGAUAUUGAAAUUUGGCACAGCUUGUACAGGAUAGGUAGGAGCCUUUGAAACGUGAGCGCUAGCUUACGUGGAGGCGCUGGUGGGAUACUACCCUGGCUGUGUUGACUUUCUAACCCGCACCAUUUGAUCAUGGUGGGAGACAGUGUCAGGCGGGCAGUUUGACUGGGGCGGUCGCCUCCUAAAGAGUAACGGAGGCGCUCAAAGGUUCCCUCAGAAUGGUUGGAAAUCAUUCGCAGAGUGUAAAGGCACAAGGGAGCUUGACUGCGAGACCUACAAGUCGAGCAGGGUCGAAAGACGGACUUAGUGAUCCGGUGGUUCCGCAUGGAAGGGCCAUCGCUCAACGGAUAAAAGCUACCCCGGGGAUAACAGGCUUAUCUCCCCCAAGAGUUCACAUCGACGGGGAGGUUUGGCACCUCGAUGUCGGCUCAUCGCAUCCUGGGGCUGUAGUCGGUCCCAAGGGUUGGGCUGUUCGCCCAUUAAAGCGGUACGCGAGCUGGGUUCAGAACGUCGUGAGACAGUUCGGUCCCUAUCCGUCGUGGGCGUAGGAAAUUUGAGAGGAGCUGUCCUUAGUACGAGAGGACCGGGAUGGACAUACCUCUGGUGUACCAGUUGUCGCGCCAGCGGCAUAGCUGGGUAGCUAUGUAUGGACGGGAUAAGUGCUGAAAGCAUCUAAGCAUGAAGCCCCCCUCAAGAUGAGAUUUCCCAACUUCGGUUAUAAGAUCCCUCAAAGAUGAUGAGGUUAAUAGGUUCGGGGUGUAAGCGCAGUAAUGUGUGUAGCUGACGAAUACUAAUCGAUCGAAGACUUAAUCAA
rnacentral:rRNA from 1 species